AUUGCAGUAUACUUCACAUAGCAUUUAGUUGUUUUCAAUUGAGCUAAGUUAUAGUGAGUGAAAUUAUUAUGGCUUUGACUAUGAAAUCAUUUUCAAAUAUUUAUAAUCACUUUGGUCAUCUUGACCGUAAAUUUUGUCAGUACUGUAAUGGACUACCUCCAAGGAAAGAAUUAUGCCUUGGUAUCCUCAGAUACCAAUAACAUCUUGCGUUUCUGGGCGAGAGGUAGAUUCAUGCUAUAUGGGCAGCUAUCAUGAUACAAAAUGUGUGUUUGGAUUCUGCUUCGUCAAACCCUACAAAAGAGAUUGACUUUUUAAAAAUAGUCAUCAAACAUAUUUUUAAAUUGAAGAAUAUACAUCCAUGUGAAAUAGUUAUACCUACUAUAAUAA